AACAAAAGAAACCCAGUUUCACCAGGUAAGGGCAUGCAACCCACAUAACAACCUCAAACAUCUAUUAAAACCUUUUACAUCAUUAUUGUUUGGCAUUAUCAGGCAUGAACAUAAUUCAGUAUACAAGUCAAUACCGUAUCAGCUAAGCUGAAAAUCCACAACCAAUCUAAAAUCGCAUGUCUAUGACCCUUUCUGGCCAGUCAGUAAGAGCAAGAAAUCAAAAAGUGCACACAAUGGCCAAUACGAUUCUCAAGUUCCCACAUGCACAUUUGUUGUUAUCAUUGGUUUUACGUUUCCCA
rnacentral:misc_RNA from 1 species